rnacentral:rRNA from 1 species
UCCUGGCUCAGGACGAACGCUGGCGGCGUGCCUAACACAUGCAAGUCGAACGAGAAUCUUUGGAAUGAUUCUUUCGGGAUGAAUUCUAAAGAGGAAAGUGGCGGACGGGCGAGUAACGCGUGAGUAACCUGCCCAUAAGAGGGGGAUAAUCCAUGGAAACGUGGACUAAUACCGCAUAUUGUAGUUAAGUUGCAUGACUUGAUUAUGAAAGAUUUAUCGCUUAUGGAUGGACUCGCGUCAGAUUAGAUAGUUGGUGAGGUAACGGCUCACCAAGUCAACGAUCUGUAGCCGAACUGAGAGGUUGAUCGGCCGCAUUGGGACUGAGACACGGCCCAGACUCCUACGGGAGGCAGCAGUGGGGAAUAUUGCGCAAUGGGGGCAACCCUGACGCAGCAACGCCGCGUGCAGGAAGAAGGUCUUCGGAUUGUAAACUGUUGUCGCAAGGGAAGAAGACAGUGACGGUACCUUGUGAGAAAGUCACGGCUAACUACGUGCCAGCAGCCGCGGUAAUACGUAGGUGACAAGCGUUGUCCGGAUUUACUGGGUGUAAAGGGCGCGUAGGCGGACUGUCAAGUCAGUCGUGAAAUACCGGGGCUUAACCCCGGGGCUGCGAUUGAAACUGACAGCCUUGAGUAUCGGAGAGGAAAGCGGAAUUCCUAGUGUAGCGGUGAAAUGCGUAGAUAUUAGGAGGAACACCAGUGGCGAAGGCGGCUUUCUGGACGACAACUGACGCUGAGGCGCGAAAGUGUGGGGAGCAAACAGGAUUAGAUACCCUGGUAGUCCACACCGUAAACGAUGGAUACUAGGUGUAGGAGGUAUCGACCCCUUCUGUGCCGCAGUUAACACAAUAAGUAUCCCACCUGGGGAGUACGACCGCAAGGUUGAAACUCAAAGGAAUUGACGGGGGCCCGCACAAGCAGUGGA